rnacentral:rRNA from 1 species
GGGGUGCAGCAGGCGCGAAAACUCUACAAUGCAGGCAACUGCGAUAGGGGGACAUCGAGUGGCAUCCACCUUGGGUGCCUGUCCCACCGUCUAAAAAACGGUGGUUAGCAAGGGCCGGGUAAGACCGGUGCCAGCCGCCGCGGUAAUACCGGCGGCUCGAGUGGUGGCCGAUAUUAUUGAGUCUAAAGGGUCCGUAGCCGGCUUCGCAAGUCCCCUGGGAAAUCCAGCGGCUUAACCGUUGGUCGUCCAUGGGAUACUACGUUGCUUGGGACUGGGAGAGGUGGGAGGUACUCGGGGGGUAGGGGUGAAAUCCUGUAAUCCUCCGGGGACCACCGGUGGCGAAGGCGUCCUACCAGAACAGGUCCGACGGUGAGGGACGAAAGCUAGGGGCACGAACCGGAUUAGAUACCCGGGUAGUCCUAGCCGUAAACGAUGCCCGCUAGGUGUCACGACAGUCGUGAAUUAUCGUGGUGCCGUAGGGAAGCCGCGAAGCGGGCCACUUGGGAAGUACGACCGCAAGGUUGAAACUUAAAGGAAUUGGCGGGGGAGCAC